AUUGAACGCUGGCGGCAGGCCUAACACAUGCAAGUCGAGCGGAUGAGUGGAGCUUGCUCCAUGAUUCAGCGGCGGACGGGUGAGUAAUGCCUAGGAAUCUGCCUGGUAGUGGGGGACAACGUUUCGAAAGGAACGCUAAUACCGCAUACGUCCUACGGGAGAAAGCAGGGGGACCUUCGGGCCUUGCGCUAUCAGAUGAGCCUAGGUCGGAUUAGCUAGUAGGUGAGGUAAUGGCUCACCUAGGCGACGAUCCGUAACUGGUCUGAGAGGAUGAUCAGUCACACUGGAACUGAGACACGGUCCAGACUCCUACGGGAGGCAGCAGUGGGGAAUAUUGGACAAUGGGCGAAAGACCUGAUCCAGCCAUGCCGCGUGUGUGAAGAAGGU
rnacentral:rRNA from 1 species